rnacentral:rRNA from 1 species
GAAUGCUGACAUAAGUAACGAUAAAGCGGGUGAAAAGCCCGCUCGCCGGAAGACCAAGGGUUCCUGUCCAACGUUAAUCGGGGCAGGGUGAGUCGACCCCUAAGGCGAGGCCGAAAGGCGUAGUCGAUGGGAAACGGGUUAAUAUUCCCGUACUUGGUGUUACUGCGAAGGGGGGACGGAGAAGGCUAUGUUGGCCGGGCGACGGUUGUCCCGGUUUAAGCGUGUAGGUGUGUGUUCCAGGUAAAUCCGGUUCACUUUAACACUGAGGCGUGAUGACGAGGCACUACGGUGCUGAAGCAACAAAUGCCCUGCUUCCAGGAAAAGCCUCUAAGCAUCAGGUAACAUCAAAUCGUACCCCAAACCGACACAGGUGGUCAGGUAGAGAAUACCAAGGCGCUUGAGAGAACUCGGGUGAAGGAACUAGGCAAAAUGGUGCCGUAACUUCGGGAGAAGGCACGCUGACAUGUAGGUGAAGUG